rnacentral:rRNA from 1 species
AUUGAACGCUGGCGGCAGGCCAACCCCUGCAAGUCGCGCGGAUGAAGGGAGCUUGCUCCUGGAUUCAGCGGCGGACGGGUGAGUAAUGCCUAGGAAUCUGCCUGGUAGUGGGGGAUAACGUCCGGAAACGGGCGCUAAUACCGCAUACGUCCUGAGGGAGAAAGUGGGGGAUCUUCGGACCUCACGCUAUCAGAUGAGCCUAGGUCGGAUUAGCUAGUUGGUGGGGUAAAGGCCUACCAAGGCGACGAUCCGUAACUGGUCUGAGAGGAUGAUCAGUCACACUGGAACUGAGACACGGUCCAGACUCCUACGGGAGGCAGCAGUGGGGAAUAUUGGACAAUGGGCGAAAGCCUGAUCCAGCCAUGCCGCGUGUGUGAAGAAGGUCUUCGGAUUGUAAAGCACUUUAAGUUGGGAGGAAGGGCAGUAAGUUAAUACCUUGCUGUUUUGACGUUACCAACAGAAUAAGCACCGGCUAACUUCGUG